rnacentral:lncRNA from 1 species
UGUCGUGGUCAGCAGUGCAGGCUCGCAAGAGAUACGGUGCUUCCUGUUGAUGCCUGGGUGUGGGUACGCUUCCACUCUUUCUUCCUCAAGAGUUUUGAUUUCUUUGUCUUGGAAGACACACUACAUCCAGAGAUACUUCUAAGGGUGCCCUCCUCUCUUCUGUGUCAUGCUCUGAGAUCCAGGGAUCACUGCAGUAGUCUGUUUUUGCUGAACAGAAGGGUGCAUACAUUUUCUUCUCCUGGAAUAAAGUGGGUGAGUGCCUUGACCAUCAUCCUGUGGGACAGCCAAGGUGAGGAGGGGUGGCAGAGGUGCACUGACCCAACUCUCUUCCUUCGUGACACUGUUCUCCUCUGUAUCAAGGAACCGCGUAGUCGUUGAGCGAGGAAGCGGAGGGCAGUGAGCUUCUAAUUAGUGGGGGAGGCUGCUCCUCUGGGAGAGGGGUAGUUUGUUGUGAUGAAGCCUCACCUCUGCUGCCCAGCAGAACAGGGACAUCCACCUGCUUCCCAGGUUUAUGUUUUAGCUGCUGGAAAUUGGAUGUUGCAGGAAGGGCUCUGCUGGCUGUAC